rnacentral:lncRNA from 1 species
GUACACGGAGGCAGCAUGGGGAAAGGCAUUGAAGGGCGGGACCCCGGAGCCGACUUGCUGCAGAUCCAAAAAGGCGGAGCUAGAUAAAGAGGAAGGGGUGGAGCUAGAACUGGACACCUCGGGGGUUUCCUGCUUUAUGGCGAAGGACGGAGUUUUGCUCUUGUUGCCCAAGCUGGAGUGCAAUGGUGCGAUCUUCGCUUACUGCAACCUCUGCUUCCUGGGUUCAAGUGAUUCCCCUGCCUCAGCCUCCCGAGUAGCAGGGAUUACAGUCUUCAAAUAAGUGUUUACGUAGAAGCACCAUAUCUGAAACAGGUGACAGUGGACCAGUCUGAAUGAAAUGAGGGUUGGCAGGCCUGAGCUCCAAAACCUUCUGAUUGCCCAAGCCCUCCUUGUCUUGCUUGGAUUAUCUCCACACAAAUGGAGAAACUGGACAAGGUGGUCAUGGAGGUCCCUGAAAGCUCAAAGACUUUCUCAUUCCAGGAUUCCCCAUGUUCAUAUGCCAGCAUGGCAUGGGGGUGCUCUGUAGUCAAGCAGGGUCCUUUGGGGGGCUUAGGGAUGGAGCCAGGAAAUGGCUCUGGGACUCAGCGGGUGUCCAGAGUCUCAUCAGCAGGGUUUCUUUACUUUCACUGAGUGGCUGGUGCCUGCACACUGAGUUUUGCAGGCUUACUCUCACAGAGUGAGCUUCCUGCAGGCCCCCCACUGCAACCCCUUUCCUUCCUGGAGCUGUGUGCUGACUGGUGCGUGAGCACCCCAGGCCCUCUCCCCAUGCUGCUGAUGGUCAGCUUUCUCUGCACGCUCGUGGUUGCCACAGUCAACGCUGAUAAAAUUGCUGAUGCAGAUUGCCUGCCCAGCUGCGAGUGCUGGCACGGGACCAGCAGCCCAGACGGUCACUGGAAGUGGUUGGGCUGAUUAUUGGCAUCAUCUCCAUUGUCCUACUCGGUUCUUAAAGGCAUAUGGACUUGCCUCACUCCUACAGCAAAUGACGGCAUGGGCAAAGAGGGGCAACAGACCCACCCUGAAGACACUCCUCAUCUGGUUGACUUGGCAGGGUUAAGGGAAAAAGAUGUGAUGACUAGGAGCUGAGAGCUUAGUGGUUCUGCCAGAGCUGCAGAGUCUUUGUUGGCCUCAGGGUGGGACCUCUCACAUCUCUGUCAGCUUUUCACGGACACCAACCUGUUAUGAUUCAUUUCACCUGUCCUGAGCACUAGCAAGAAAAAUUCGCUGUAGCUUGUGAUGUAUUAUUCUGGAUUUCUCAACUCAUUCAUUUGUUCAUUCAUUCACUAUACCAUUACUGUCUAUUAUAAGGGGGGCACAAUGGUAGGUGCUGGGAAUAAAAACGAUGUUUAACGUUUCAUGAGGCUUCCCUGUCCUUAAGGAGUCCGCGUGUCUUUGUACCUGUCUGUCUGCUAGAUUAUUAAGUGACACUGUGAGAAGCUACUGAGAGCAGCAUGUGGGACAUGCAGAAGGGCAAGAGGCAGGAGAGAUGAUUCAUGUCGGAGGGGCAGGGGAGGACUGACGGAGAGGGUGAUGUUUGGCUGAGUCAUGAAGGCUAGUGGUAUUUUUCCAUGCAGAGAAGUGGGAGGAAAGGCAUUCUGUGUGGAGGGCACACAGUGUGCAAGGGCAGAGAGGUCAUUAUGUGAAGGCUUUGUGCUACUGCUUCAGAGUUGUGGAACGUGAUGUUGCAAUCUGGGAAAGACGCUGAUGGCAAGGGAUAGCAUCAUCAGGUUGUGCUGCCAUCCCUGAAAGGCCCAGGCUCAAAGGUUUUGGGUGAAGGAAGCCAGGAGGGUUAGAAAGGGAGGAAGAUGCCAGGGCAUCUGGUAAAAUAAAGCAUGUGUCAGGCUUGGAGUUGCAUAAGGCAGGUGCCCUGAGCCCAUUGAUGCAACUUCCAGCUGCUUUGAUGGAGCACAGGCUCAUUUGGAGAAUAGACCUUCUCUGGCCCUUGCCCACCCUGUUCACCUCCCAGGGCCCAGCUUCUCACCUGCUCGCCUUUGGUGUGGCUGGGGGAGGCAUAGGCCUCUGGGUAGUGCUGCCGCUCAAAUGGGCACUCGAGCGGCUCGAGGUGGUGCUGGCUGAAGGCAUCCGUGCGAAGGUGCUUUCGGGGUCCGCUGCUGCUGCUCUGUGAGUCAAUGCUUAGUCGGCAGCUAUCCUGAUCACCUGGUACCCCCCGGGAAGGAAGAAAGCUUUUAGGGGACCUAUCUAUUCAUGCUCUAGGCCAAAGUAGAGGACUGACUCCAAGCUGACUCACUGUGGAGGGAGAAAAAGGGCCAGCCACGUGGGCCCAGGAGCCUUGGCCAACUGAGGGACAGGACAUGUGACAGUCACAUGCAGAGCCCCUACAAAGUCCCAUAUCAUAAGUGGAAGGGUUUCUGUCCCCAUCAAAGCCUGAGCAAACUGCUCUCGUGCACCGCCCGCUGCCCUCCUGUCCCAGCACUCACUGUCAUCCAUUUUCCUCUUGUCGCUGCCAGGCUGAGCGAUGCCCAGGAGCCCAUUGAUGGAGUAGGUGGAGCCCAGGGAAUCCGACUGGGGUGACUCCGGGGGAGUUACAGCUGAGCUGGG